GACCAAAACCAUCUAGUAUGUGUUCAUUUCCGUUGGCUUAGCGGCUACUGUUAUCCGGUUGGCAAUGAUGUCUUAUGUCUUACUUCGGAAAGUUCCUUUUGUGGCGCAGCGGGGCAAAAGAUCAAGGAUCUGGAGAUGACGAGAAUAUGUUAGCUGAAAACAUAGGCUCGGAUUGAGUUCAGGCUGCUUGGAGCUCGUUAUUUGUGUAAAGAUUCGCAUUCGUUUCAGAGACUUUGAGGCUGGGAAAGGUUUUCUUUUUAAUUACCAGCGACAGAAUUAUCGUGAUUCACGAUUGCCAGUAUGUGCUUAAUCAAGCUGAGAAAAAAUGCAAAGUGCGGAUAUUACAUGUAUUCUGUAAUUUAGCUCUUUUACCGGAGUGUCAGUCAAGGGAUUUUAGAGAGAACUGUCAUCAACUUUAAAAGUGGAAUUGAAAGACUGCACAAGGAAAGAGAAAUCUUGAUGUUUCUCUAUGAGAUAGACUUUAGGGAAAUAACUCGGUUCAACAGGCCUCUAUAGCAAUCGGAAGGACAUGAUAUUCUUUUCAUCCUUUAAUUAACGAUAAAAACAAGUCUGUAAGGACAUUUGCAGACUAUUUUCCUUUUGAGGACCAGAGCAAGAGGAUAUUGCGUUUUAACGCUGUUAUUGCAUUCGGUCUCUUUCGAAGAUUUACUGAAAAUCUGCCUGAUUAUUCCAUGUUUUUUCGUCGAAUUUAAUAGGGAAAGUCGUUGUAGUGUUCAUAAAGCAAUUACAAUUAUAUAUCUGCAGCCAUGAUCUGAAUAAGACUAAGUAUUGCCAUGAUAAAGCAAUGAGAUUAUAAAAGAUUUUAAUGUAGCACUCCCAAGGUAUGAGAUGCGAAAUUUUAUCGACUGUACCUUGUCUUGGCAAAGUCACCUUUCUGGAAAUGCCGAAACAUCUUGGUUUCCUGAAAAUCUCAAAGAACAGUGGUAACUAAGUAUGGGUAUGGAGAGUGAAGUGUCGUUUCAUAAAUAAAAGUUAAAAAAGUUUGCAGCAUAAACAAAAACAGCUGGAAAUGUAUAUGUUACCCUCAUUAUUUCGGUAAAAGAAACCUAUAUGUAAGCUUCGGCUUUAAACUACUAACAGAUAAGCUUUUGUUAACAUUAUCUGUGCAUUUAAUCAAGUAUCCAAUCGAUGCCCGUCACCUGAACAUUGGACAACCUUUGUUUGCGGGGUCGAGAAAACCUUCACCAUUUGUGUCUUUAAGGGUGCACGUAGUUAUUCCAACAUAGGGAUCUCAAACUUGGAACGAAAAGAGCAUUUGAUUAAUAAAUGAUUGAAGGAAUGAA